AGAAUAUUAGUCAAUGCUCGAAAGAGUGAACUAGCUAACUGAAAUCACAUGACUCAUUCUUAUAGGUGGUGAAUGUGAUAAGGUGUAGGGAAAAAAAUGAUAUUACCUCACUAAAAGUGUUGUCCAAAUCUGGUGCCAGAAGACUCGGUAAGACCAGAAACGCAAACGUUAGUCAUCUUAAUCAGGCGUAAAGGGUAUGUAGGCAGCUUUGAAAGUUUUAUUUUUAUACAAAGGCUCUAUUUAAAUUAAAAAAAAAAUAGUGAAAAUAAAAUAAAUUAAAGCUAGAAUCAAAUAGAGGAAAAACCAAAUAAUACUUAGAGUAGGGAUGAUAUCCAUAGAUACUAAGGGGAAUACUAAGGGCGAAAGCUUUUUUUCUACUAAUGAUUGACGCUGAGAAACGAAGGUGAGAAUAGGAAAUAGGAUUAGAUACCCAGAUACCUCUCACUGUCAACGAUGAAUGGUGGUUGUUAGUUUUAAUAAAAACUGGUGACGAUGUUAACACGAUAACCAUUCCGCCUUGCGAGUACGGUUGCAAAACUGAACCAAAAAAAUUAGUCGGUCUCGAAGCAAA
rnacentral:rRNA from 1 species